AAUUGAAAGCCCAUCGUGUACGCCAAAAAUAUAUGGCGCGAUCGUUCUCACAGGACAAGGGGUAUUAAUAGAAGCAGCAAGGAGCCGAUUUUCUCAGGGUUUGAAUUGCGCAGCUGCCACAUGGCAAUCAUGUGCAAAUGGCACUGGGGGGGCAGAAGCAGAAGCAGCAGCAUCAGCAGCCAGUGUCGUCGUCGUCAGCUGAGUGGAGUGUGCCUCUUUGCAACAGCGGCACCACGCCAUAUCCCUCGCGCUCUCGUUCUCUGCCUCGUCUCCGUCUCUGUCCCCCAACUCCGGGUUUCAAACCUGUGAGUACAGUUGUUUAUUGUCAACUUUUAUGCUCUCCGUGAUGGCCGUGGGGCCAGCAUUCAUGUGAUUGCGUUGUUGGUCGUUGGCUUUUUGUUUUAGGGGGAAUGGGAGGUGAGAAUAAGUAGCUGGAGGUGGGGCGGGGUGGCGUAUUGGGGAUGGUGUUGCGGGGCUUACGAGUCUCCUUAGUAUGUGGCUGGGGGAGGGAUACAGUAGAGUGUGAUUCGUGUGAAGAAGGUGUCGGGGCGAUGGAGUAGGAGCUGGACGUGUUGGGUUGGAUUAGUUGGGUUGAUUGGAUAGUGAACGAGGAGGAGGAGAGGAAUUUCUGUGGGGGUGAGGGAUGGCGAUGGCAGGGGGCCCGCAGAGAGCGGGGAGAAGGAGUGGAGGUGCCGCAGGUAAGGCGUCGGCGUUGAUAGAGCUGAAGAAUCGGAUUCUGGCGGUGCUGAAUAAGCUCUCGGACCGAGAUACGCAGCAGUUGGCGGUGGAGGAGCUGGAGCGUAUUGCGCAGAGUCUGUCACCCGAGGGUAUAGCUCUCUUUCUGACGUGCUUAUACGAUACAGACUCGCAGCAGAAGAGCGUUGUGCGGCGGGAGUGUAUUAGGCUCGUGGGGACGCUGGCCUCCAUUCAUGGGGAUUUGCUGGCCUCCCACCUGCCGAAGAUGGUGGCAAACAUUGUGAAGAGAUUGAAAGAUCCAGAUUCCAAUAUUCGCGACGCCUGCGUUGAAAGCAUGGGUGUUUUGGCUUCUAGUAUCGGCGGAGCCGAUUCUGGUGCUGUCACCACGGUGUUCGUCAAACCUCUGUUUGAAGCCUUGGCAGAGCAACACAAGACCUUGCAAACUGGAGCUGCUAUGUGUCUAGCGCGCGUCCUUGAAUGUGUCAAGGAGCCACACCCUCCUACUCUGCAGCGCCUUUGUCCACGAAUACUGAAAAUGCUGGCCAGCCCUAAUUUUCUGGCCAAGGCGUCUCUCCUGAGUGCUGUUGGAGUCAUGGUCCAGGUUCCUGGAGUGGUGUCUGCGUCUCAAUUACCCGUUCUGCUUGGUGCUGUUCAAGACGAGCUGGGUAACAGUGAAUGGGCAGUUCGGAAAGCUGCAGCUGAGGCCUUAUCUUGCAUGGCCUCUGCAGUUGGCAACAGCCUAGUAUCCUAUAGGGCAGGUGUUAUCGCUGCUUUGGAGAGCAGUCGAUUCGAUAAGGUGAAGCCUGUUCGAGACAGUGUUACUGAAGCAUUGCAGCUUUGGAAGGCUAUCUACGAUCCGAAUGCUCCACUGUGUGUUUCACCCAAAGGAAGUGCUUCACCUAGAGGAAGUGCUUCACCUAGAGAUUCAGCUUCUCCAAGGUAUCGCUUCGAUGGAGACUCAACCCCUACUAUUCCAGAUCGUAAAAACCGUUCGUUGGGGAAGUCCGGAGGUUCCGUAACCUCUUCACUUUCUGAUUCAAGUGGGAGACCCAAGUCUAUGCCUGAUAGACGUGCAAGUUUGUUGAAAAAAAGAGCUCCGGGCCUAAGCGACAAAAAACCUAAUCCUGAUUUUUUCCGAAAGCUAGAAGGCGUGAGGGAUUCAACAGGUUGGCAAAUAGAAGUUGCAGUUCCGCGCGACCUACCGCAGGAAGAGAGUCCAAGAUCUGGGGCUGCCAGUGGUGAGCAUCUGGUCUAUCGUGGAAACUGCACAGAUAUGAUGCAAGGAUCUGCCUCUUCAGGCAGUGCAUAUGCUUCAGGUGGAGUAUUGACCCCUGAUGAGAGUAAUGGUACGGAUCUUCAGUAUGACCAGGAAGAAGGUGGAUCAAGUAAUCAUCCAGUGGAGAAUGGGACGAUUUCAACCGAUGGUUAUGAAGAUCCGCAGACUGCAAUGCUCAAGAAAACGUUGGAAAAGUCCGAGAGAUGGGGAGAUCCUCAAUCUAUUGAGCAUCAAAGGCAUAGCUAUAAUUCUUCUUGGGAUGGCAAUGACUCUAGGGUGACUUGCAUGGACAAAGGAGCUGCAGAUAUAGGAUCUUUCCACCGUCACUUGACUAGCUUGGAACGCCAACAGCUUUCCAUGAUGGAGAUGCUGCAGGAUUCCAUGGUACGUGUGCAUGAGAGCAUGCAAGAUUUAGAAGGACGAGUCUCUAGGCUGGAACAAAUUGUGGAGGAUUUGGCUCUCAGUUCUGGCAAUACAGAAGGGAGGUCUCCGGUCGGUGAGUCACCCACUUUUCAAGGUGGUCAUCCACUAGGCAAAUACCUUUCUGGGAAUGGAUUUCUCAACUUCAAGUCUGGUAAAGCGACUGAGGAUUCUUCAGCACCUUUAAGUGCGAGGAGUCAGGAUUCCUUGGAGAAGUUGACAGAGUCAACAUCUGGAGAAUCGGAUGAAUUUGCCUUCGGUUCUGGUCAGCAGAUGUCAUCGACAGAAGCUCUUAGGCAGGCUCAGGUGCUGGUGGCGAGACCAUCGCAGAAAGGCAAUAGAGCGGAUCGAGAGAUUGACCAAGAUGUGAUUGGAACCAGGAGAGUAUGUGAUUCAAGUCCAACUGUUCUUCCACAAGGAGAAGGUCCAUCUGCCCGAAGCGUUUGGCAGGCAUCAAAAGAUGAAGCAAUAGCGGCCAUUCGUGGUGCUGCUAUACCAAGUAAGCCUCGUGAUUCUCAUCGGCAGCAAUCCAGACGAGAUUUCGCCGAUCAGAAGUCAAAUAGAGUGGUGGGCGGACCAUUUUCGAUGUUAUGGAGCCAAGCUAUGGAGAGUGUCCGAGCAAGUGAUUUCGAUUUGGCUUACGCAGACAUUCUUGGGAGCAAUGAUGAGCUCUUGUUGGUACGCUUGAUGAGUCGCACUGGUCCUGUCUUGGAACAAUUGAGCGAUGCCACCUUGACACAUCUUAUGGGUAACCUGAAACACUUUCUUCAACAGCAGAGCUUCUUGGAAUGCGUAAUUCCUUGGAUCCAGCAGGUGGCUGAUUUGGUCUUAAGUAAUGGUCCUAAUGCACUAGGACUAACGGGAGACUCAAAGAAGGACCUUGUUUUUGCUCUCCAAGAGGCCGCGAGUAUGGACCAUGCUCAGAGCUGGAUGGCAGCCAAAAUUGUAGAACUUGCAGAGCAGCUGAGGAGUGCUUGGUUAUCAAGUGGAAGUGGCGAUACUGGGGAGAGUUGAUAGUUGGAAGUCUGGUCAUCGAGUUCAGACUAGAAGACAUUCCAAAGCAGUUUUAAUUUUAACGACCGAAACGAAACGUCAGAGCCUUGAUGUUUCGUAAUACAAAUGGUCGCAUCUGUAAUUCUUUUAAAAAGGGGUAGAAUUUGUUUUUGUUAGACUACUUCCAACGAGCAACUUUAAAAGAGGUGAGGGUUUGCCACUCAUCGUUCAUAAGGAGAAUAUGACAGAAGUUCUUUGGAGAGCUGGAAGCGUUGGAGGAUAGCUGCUUCACUCUUCAACCGACUCUGGCACGAUGGGAUGGUAGAAACAUGCAUUCUAAUACUUGAUUGUCGAUCUCAUGUUUUGCCGGUAUGGUGGAUGAGUUGAAUCUGGGUUGGCAGCAGGUAGAAAAGACACUUUCCAUCUGGAAUAAAUGAACAAAAAACAAACAUAGCAAAACAAGAAGUCAAGGUUCCUUCGCACCCGAGUCAUUGAACAGUGUUGCGGCAAUUUGGCUUUUCUAAGCCGUACUUCAAUCAGUCAAAUUUUGAACGGAUGAGUAACUAGUUUGCACACCUUCCAUGAACAAACAGGCAUGUAUGUGACAUGAUUGCCUCAAUGCGCUGGGCAUUGUUAACCUUGAUGCAUAAUCUGCGUAGGGUGGAACAAUGUUGGUUCAGAAAUAGGAGAUGAACGUGCAAGAAUUAGCUUCACCAGCAUUGUAUACACAUGUAUUUGAUUAGAUAUUCCAUCAUUUGCAAUUUACUUGAAAAAAUGAUGUGUCAACGGAAGUCUCACAAACUUUGACUACAAACCAUGGUAAACUUUCAACCUUA